AUGCUUGCUUUUUCUCCCCUCCUCACUCCCUGUCUCCUUUAGCUGCUAGAAUGUGGUGGAAAUUUGUUUGAUGCCAUAUCCAUUGCUGUAAAGGCUGCGCUCUUCAAUACCAGGAUACCAAGAGUUCGUGUUCUGGAAGAUGAAGAGGGGUCAAAGGACAUUGAACUGAGCGAUGACCCUUAUGACUGCAUCCAGCUAAAUGUGGAGAAUGUCCCCUGUAUUGUCACCCUAUGCAAGAUCGGCUAUCGGCACGUGGUGGAUGCUACUCUUCAGGAGGAGGCCUGCUCCUUGGCCAGCUUGCUGGUGGCCGUGACCAGCAAGGGAGUCGUGACGUGCAUGCGGAAAGUGGGGAAGGGCAGCCUGGACCCAGAGAGCAUCUUCGAGAUGAUGGAGACUGGCAAGCGUGUGGGCAAGGUGCUGCACACCUCCCUGCAGAGUCUUCUACACAAGGAGGAAAGCCUGGGUCCCAAGAGACAGAAAGUCGGAUUCCUGGGAUGAUCCACCCUCAACGGCCAAGUGUGGGGUUUCUACUUUUCCUUUUAAGCUGACGUUUGUAUAUAUCUUUUUUAGCUAUUAUGAAUUUAAGGCAGCAUCUGAACGUGUGAAAUUAAAGUCAAUUUUCUGGUUUGACUUGGUACGGCAGUAAGCCAAGAUGCCAGUCAGUGACCCCUCAGGUAUUCUUACCCUGGUCUAGUGAAUGACAGCUUAAUCCAGAGAACAAUGACAAGCACACUAGAAUAUAACUCGCAGAAAAAUCGUUCAAAGGAAAUGCUUAUACAUAUGUUGUUAAUUGUCCCCCCUUUAGAGCUUUUAAAAUAAGAAUUACAAAAAGAUAGAGAGUCACCUUGCAUAUUGGGGGUUUCUGUUGCAGGGGGAGAUGGAGGAAGCACUCUGCCCCAGGUACAGACCCAGCUGGUGAGCCUUCCUGAGUUUGGGGAGCCCAGUUUUGCUUCCUACCUACCAAGACAUCCCGGCCUACCUCCAUCUACUUUGGUCCUUAGCCAGUCUCUCUUAUCACUUUCUUUUUUUUUUUUUUUUUGGCUUUUUAGGACCACACCUGCGGCAUCGGGAGGUUCCCAGGCUAGGGAUCCAAUCAGAGCUACAGCUGAUGCCCUACACCACAGCAACGUCAGAUCCGAGCCUCAUCUGCAACCGACACCACAGCUCAUGGCAAUGCCGGAUCCUUAACCCACUAAGCGAGGCCAGGUAACGAACCCACAUCCUCAUGGAUGAUAAUCAGAUUCAUUUCUGCUGAGCCAUGAUGGGAACUCCCCUAUCACUCUUAUUUUGAAAUUGCUUUGUGUUUUAUAACCACUCCCUGGUGUUCUGUAAGAUUUCCAUGCUUUGUCAGCAUUAAGAAGGCUGCUUUAGAGAUGCUGUCAUUUGAUUACUCACCCUGCCUUCAUACUCUGGGGACAGAAGGGGAGGCCAUUCUCAGUGGUGCCAGAAGCCUCUUCCUAUAAGCCUGUGUUCUACUCACAGUGAAGUGUGUUAGGAUUAAGUCUAUUCAUGGUCGAGCAGUCUUUGUGGUUUUUUCCCAGGGGAACUGAAACUCCCCAAUCAAUCUUUAAGAGAGCCCUGGGGAAGGAGCUGGUUCAUGAAGGAGAGUAUUUCAGCUGUGGUGUUUACUCUCUGCAUUUCAAUUAGACAAAAAGGGUAAGGAGUUAGGAAUUUAUAGCCUAAUGGAAAGAACAUAAUGUGAGUUGAAGCCCUUAUGGUAUGUUCCAAAGGUCUGGCAUGAGCACCUCCUCCUAGCAUGGCCAGGUACAUCCUGUGCCUAGACUUGGAGCUGCUGCCCUGUUGAGAGAAUAGUCUGGGUUUUCAUUUUUUCUGACAUUUCUCCCCAGUGAUGGUUCUUAGAGGUGCUCCCAGCAAGGUGGCAGUCAGCCUGCUCCUCCUCCCCUCCUCCUAGCUGACUGCCCAUGAUGGAACACUGACAGUGGGGGUGCACAGGUGUGACUAAAGCUUAGAAGCCUUCAGUUUUGAUGCUUAAGAACAUCAGGUAUUUGAGACAAACAGAUGAGGCUUUGCCAGGCCAGUUGUACAGCAGGUACCCAGCUGGGCUGGCUGGCUAAACAGUUACAGUGCAAAUGAAGGGGAAAAUUAGGUGUUAGUAUCUGCCUCCCCCCCACCCCCAGCCACCCCAUACCUUCCCUUGAAGGCCACCCUACGUUAUACCCUGUAUAUCGCACGUGAAACAGAAUACCAGGUAAGCAAGGUCUCUCAAGGAUGGGAGUACACUGGAAAUGUGUGAUUACUGCACCUUUCAGAAUAAGGGAAGAGAAAAUUAAAGGCAGAGAGUAGCCUUGGAAAAAAUUGUCCUGAGGAAAUCCACUGCUUCCUCCAGCAAAACCAGAGCGGUCUUCAGUGGCCAAAUAAAUAAAUAACAGGGAGGAUUUCCUGUCGUGGCUCAGCGAUAAUGAACCUGACUAGUAUCCAUGAGGAUGGCCUCACUCAGUGGGUUAAGGAUCUGUUGCCACAAGCUGUGGUAUAGGUCACAGACACGGCCCAGAUCCCACAUUGCUGUGGCUGUGGCACAGGCCAGCAGCUGUAGCUCCAAUUUGACCCCUAGCCUGGACCUUCCAUGUGCUGUAAGUGCGGCCCUAAAAAAUAAAAAAAAAAUUUUAAAAAGUCAGGGGGAAGGAUUGAGGUCAGCCAAAAGUCAGUUAAGAGCUUGGGGAGGGUGGGCAUGGAGGGAAUGCAGUAUUAUCUAAUAUUCAAGUUAGUUUUGUUGUUUCUGUUAUUCCAAAUAAUGUAAAUUCAAGCCUGCACAACACAUGAAUUUAGAAUAUUGGCAGUAGUUUGUUUUUGCUUAGUAAAGGCAGUGAUCUCACAUUUAGCUGCUGGUCCAGCAUAAAUCUGUACUACUCAGAACUUUUUAACAGAUAACAUGCUACCAUAGAUAAACAGUAAGGAUUUACCAUAUAGUACAGGGAACUAUAUUCAGUAUUUUGUAAUAACCUAUAAUGCAAAAGAAUCUGAAGAAGAAUAUAUAUAUGUAUAUAACUGAAUCACUUUGCUGUAUAUCUGAAACUAACACAAAAUUGUAAAUCAAUUAUACUUUAAAAAAAAAAAAACAAACCCCAACUUUUUGGAAAUAAUCUGGCAGUGUGUAUUAAAAGCCUUAAAAAUUUCA
rnacentral:lncRNA from 1 species